UUCACUCUCCAUCGCCUCAGUCGCUGCGGUGGAUGAUGAUUCAUGGGGAAUAAUCACAGCAAAGAAAACCUGUCCACAGGCGGGAGGGGGUGGGGCAGGAACAGCCCAGGUUCCUUUGCAGGUUCAGCUCCUGUUUUUCAAUAUGUGUCUUCAUUUGUUAAGCGAUGACAGUGUUCCUUGGCCUCCCUGGCUCUCCGCUCUGGAAACCUGAGGCUUUGUCUUGGUACGGGCUGCUGCCGCUGCCGGGAGCCGCUGCCCACCCCACAAAACCCCAGAAAAAGAGAGAAGGGGAGCAGCCCUUUUUCCUACUCCUGCCUCCUGCUCUGCCCAGAUGACCUCUUCAGGAACAAGGAUAAGCAGACGCGCUCUUUACUAACAACGGAGUGGAAUGACCGCGCCUGCACUCCCUCUUCUCGCCUUGUGUGGGGUCUUCAAGGUUCUGUCUCGCUCGAAGACCCUAAUUUCUGCUUGGGGCACUCGUUUCCCCUUAAUUACCUUGAAACCACACGUCGCUAAUUGCCCUAAUUACUCUCGAGCCGGGCCACACCGCCCCCGCGCGGGCCAGGCCGGGAGGCGCAGCGCCUGGGCGCACGGAGCCCGGGGUGGAUCCGAGCUCCGCCGGGAGGAGCGGCGGACGGGUCGGCGGCCCCUCUCGGGCUCAUCGGCAGAGACUCCCCGGCCCAGGGCCCGGCCGGAACUCGCACACCUCGGGCGGUGCCUGUUGAAUGGGAUCGGAGCACCUCUGAGUCCCUCUCCCUUCCCCGGCCGUACAGGGCGCUUCCCGUGUUAGGGAGACGGGGGCCACCUGGGCACCGGGCACGGGCAAGGCCUGCUCCUCCACUCCCCGCCCAGCUACUGGGAGCUGCCGCAAGCGUCCCUCCGUUUUAUGUUUUCAUAAAAUCACCGCGUUUUCUUA